AAAGUUGGCUUACGCAGCGGCUUCCGAAAUUGUAGCAGUUUCUGAAAUGGUUGCAGAAAUUGGUUUAGAUGUUUGUGUCUUUUUCUUCCUGUGAAAUCUUGUAUCCUCUGGACUGAAUCCACCGUUCCCAAACAUGGCAAAAUCGGGCGUGGAUGCCAUAUAAUCGAAUGGACCAAAGUCUUUCUUUGUCCGUAUUAAUUCGAAAAACUUUGGAUAAUCAAUGUGAGUAUGCCAAUGGCCAUCUUUUUUGAACGCAGUUUGAGCAACUAAAAUACUGCAGCUGUGUGCAUGUUCUGCAGCAAUUUCAUAGCGGACGCCAAGGUCUUGUAAAUGAAUAUCAAUAUACUCAAUCAAUUUUUUAACAAAGUCAAUUACCUCUUCAUAAUAAGGCACAUUCUUCAUAGUCAACGGUGAUUGAUCCGAAUUACCACUAUAAGUAACCCCCUUAACUUCGAUGAAACAAGGCACACCAAGACGAAUCAGUUCAGUAUACUCUUUAAUUUGCUCCAUGUUGAAUCCCUUCACCAAGGUCAUUCGGUAAACAGUACGCUGCCGCUUUUCACGUAAAAUCUCCAAACACGUUAGCAUUCGCUCCCAAAAAUCCUUGAAUAAUGGUCGGUCUACUGAUUUGAGACUCUGCUUAGUACUGGCAUCAACAGAAACGUAGAGUUGAGUGACCAUACCCAUAUUUCUUAAUGCUUCAGGAUGCUGGGCAUUUGUUACUAAGAACGAUGAAAUCUCUCUUUCAUGAAGCAUGGACACAAAUUCGUUUAUGUAUGGAUAAAAUAUAGGCUCUCCAACCAAGGACAAAGCACAGUGACGAACACGAGACGCUUCUUCAUAUCUGUCGGGUAGAACACCAGGUACACCUUUCAUUAAUUUUAACUUGGCA